AAGCUCCAAUUUGAAAUCUGGCUCUUUUAGAGUCCGAAUUGUAAUUUGUAGAAGAUGCUUCGGGUGUGGUUCCGGUCUAAGUUCCUUGGAACAGGACGUCAUAGAGGGUGAGAAUCCCGUAUGUGACUGGAUACCUAUGCUCAUGUGAAGCUCUUUCGACGAGUCGAGUUGUUUGGGAAUGCAGCUCAAAAUGGGAGGUAUAUUUCUUCUAAAGCUAAAUAUUGGCCAGAGACCGAUAGCGCACAAGUAGAGUGAUCGAAAGAUGAAAAGCACUUUGGAAAGAGAGUUAAACAGUACGUGAAAUUGUUGAAAGGGAAGCGCUUGCAAUCAGACUUGCACUUGGUGUUCAUCAGGGUCUCGUACCCUGUGUACUUCAUCAAGUUCAGGCCAGCAUCAGUUUGAGUGGUUAGAUAAAGGCUUAGAGAAUGUGGCCCUCUUCGGGGGGUGUUAUAGCUCUAGGUGCAAUGUAGCCUACUUG
rnacentral:rRNA from 1 species